UACGUAGGGCGCAAGCGUUGUCCGGAAUUAUUGGGCGUAAAGAGCUCGUAGGCGGCUUGUCACGUCGGGUGUGAAAGCCCGGGGCUUAACCCCGGGUCUGCAUUCGAUACGGGCUAGCUAGAGUGUGGUAGGGGAGAUCGGAAUUCCUGGUGUAGCGGUGAAAUGCGCAGAUAUCAGGAGGAACACCGGGGGCGAAGGCGGGUCUCUGGGCCGUAACUGACGCUGAGGAGCGAAAGCAUGGGGAGCGAACAGG
rnacentral:rRNA from 1 species